CACAUCGCUACAGGUGUGGCUCCCUUUUCCAAUGAAGACACAGUGGGAGUACACUAAUAAAGAUCUGCAAGAGACAACCAUUCAACCUUCAAGUGCUCACUGGAUUAUAUGAAACGUCAGAAGACCAGGGGACUUUACAUGGGAUAUCAUAUAACACUUGACUGCUGAGGAAUUCCACAAGUUAAAAGGGAGUAUUCUUGGAGCCAGUUCAAGUCACCAGAGGAAACUAGAACAAACGUUGACAGCAAAGCUUCAGAUCUGAGCCUCAAUACCCUGUCUGAGAUCCAAAACAUCAAACCAAAAGCCUGUCAAUAGAUUGACAGCCACAGACUCUAUCUGCCUGUGUUUUGUACUCUCAGCCUUCCAUAAGUCAGUCAUAAUGAAUUCGUCUCUGGAAAACCCUUAUGGAGACGUGAUCAUCCCUCGGGCCAAGCUACAUUCUGCAGAGGACAGCACGAUCAUCAUCAACCCCAUCGCUCUGGACAGUACCUACAGCAACCGCAAUUACUCCCUUAACCCCUACGGUGCCUUCAAACCCGGGGGGCAGUCGCCAUUCCCCUCAGAAGGUACCAACAAUGGCGAUGGUGGCGCCUCAAACACCCCUUGUUAUGACGGCCAGACCUCCUACACAGUGAAGGAGGACACGGAAGAGGAGGUUGGACGCUGUCGUACCUGCUGCUUUCGCUGCCGACGGAAGUAAACCGGCAACAUAGGCCCAGAUCAGGAAAUAGUCCUACAACUCCCCGGCCACAUAGGAUUCUGGGUAUAUGAACUAAGACAAUCAAGGGACACUGUCCGAAGACACUGUCCAAUCUAGUGUUACCAGCUGGUUUAAAAGCCAAAAGCCGUUACUGGCUAAACAUGUAUAGUUUUUGAAGGAUUCAUCAGUGGUAUCAUUUAAAUUGUAUGCAAUUCUGAAAUGGAUUCUUCUUGAAUGCAAAAUGCCCUCACAGCCAGCAUGGCAGAAUCUACCUUUGAAACAGAGGUCUUUCACAUAAUCUUUUCACUUAUGACUUUGUACGCUUACUUUUUUUCUUCUUGUCGAACACGACUGUGCUAUAUUUAGCUAUGGAAAUAUUUGUUGCUUUAUUUAUACCCUAAUGCCUUUGUGCCUGAUUUUGUUUUUGUCAGUCAGUGUUUGAAUGAUGUGAAACAGACUUCACUUAGCCAGUUUUCAGGGAGUGUUAGAGAGUAUGACAAGUGCUACAGUAGACCGAUGUCAAGGAAUUAGAAUGUGAAUAGCACUUUACAUCUUCUCUUAAACUGACCCGUCACAAAAGAUGACAUUCAGGCCUUUGGCUUGGCACUGACAGACUUGGCCAAACCAGUGAGGUGAAACUAGAGGGGCAGCUUGCUUAGAAGCUGGUUCAGUUUUCAUGGGCCUUACUGAUCAGUCCAGUUUCCCCACCCCAACCCAUUCCACACCAUAACACACCACUCCGUCCUGCUUAUCCAUCUGCUGGGCUGGUCCCUCUGCUGCUGAGGGUUUACAAUGCUGCCUUUGUGCAACUAGGUCCCAGGAAACCAGGCCACAGGUCCUGCGGCCCAGCCCCAACCCCAGUCAUUCUUCUCUGUGUAUGUGGUAGACAGCACCUUACUGUCCCUCCUGGACAAAAAUAGUUGAAACAAGAGGCAUCAAUUCAUCUGACUGGAUGAGAAUUGAAAUGUAAUGUGAUCACACACAUGCUGUCUUAUUUGUUUGAGUUACACAAAACCAUCCAUAGUUUAGCCUUGUGAAACCAUUACUAAAAUUCUACUCUGCAUCGUUAGCUUAUAGAAAUGAUCUUUCAUUUUUAGCAAGCUACUACAGCAUAUCAGGGUCACCUCAUCAUGAACUGGUUCCAUAUGUGAAAGCCUCUCUUUGUUUUUUUACCUUUAUUUAACUAGGCAAGUCAGUUAAGAACAAAUUCUUAUUUUCAAUGACGGCCUAGGAACAGUGAGUUAACUGCCUUGUUCAGGGGCAGAACGACAGAUUUUUACCUUGUCAGCUCGGGGAUUUGAUCUUGCAACCUUUUGGUUACUAGUCCAACGCUCCAACCACUAGACCCUAAGCCCCCAACAGAAUUACAUGGCAACACAUGCAUGAGUACGAAUUGCUACUUUCUCUCCAGUCAGCAGUGGACUACAACUACUCAGGUGACUAGGACCCAAAGUUAAAGAUCCAGUCAAAUUCAUAACAUAUUGUACAAAUCAGAAUAUAAUUUUCUUGUAUUCUUAUUUUUUUUGCAAUUCGUAACAUAUCACACAAAAUUAAUGACAUAGUACAAAAUUGUGUAAAAACAAAUUGGGGACCCGUUUUGGCUCGUGAGCACUACUUUUAGAACUACUGGCUGAAAUUAUUCAAAACCUCUGGAGCAACACUUUAAAGGCCACUGUCAAACAGCAAGGAAUAAUAACAAAGACUUACGAAUGAUAUACUGUUGUAAUAAGAAAGUGCAAUAAGAAAGAAGAAGGGAUGAAUUAGUGAAUUGAUUGAGUUGUGUGGCUGUGUUAUUAACUGUGUUAACUACAUUGAAUAACUAUUAUUGUUAGGGUUUUACAAGAUAAUGUGACUUAACCAAGAAAAACUGCAGGCCCCAGAGAUUUUCCUGGCCAGGUUACCUCUUAGGUGAGGAAAAACUGUUAGGUAAUUAUUGUUCAGUCCAAAUACAGUAUGGGCCUUUUUCAUGAUGGUGUGUACUGCAAUGUCUUAUGGGGUUACUCCUGCAAUCUUCUUUCUACCCAUGACUAGUUUGUGGUGUAACAGUCACACAACAGUGACGACAGAACUGGUGUAGGUUGAACCUGCUGUAUUUCUCAGAGUGGGAGUAGUGCUACACUUCCUAGAAAUCAGCUAGUGUUCAAUUCAAUCAAACCUGUAUUGUGGUAUUUAUUCAGUAGCUCGUCAAAUAAAAUAUUGGUUACUGUAAAAA